rnacentral:rRNA from 1 species
AGUGAACGCUGGCGGUAGGCCUAACACAUGCAAGUCGAACGGCAGCACAGUAAGAGCUUGCUCUUACGGGUGGCGAGUGGCGGACGGGUGAGGAAUACAUCGGAAUCUACUUUUUCGUGGGGGAUAACGUAGGGAAACUUACGCUAAUACCGCAUACGACCUACGGGUGAAAGCAGGGGAUCUUCGGACCUUGCGCGAUUGAAUGAGCCGAUGUCGGAUUAGCUAGUUGGCGGGGUAAAGGCCCACCAAGGCGACGAUCCGUAGCUGGUCUGAGAGGGUGGUCAGCUACACUGGAACUGAGACACGGUCCAGACUCCUACGGGAGGCAGCAGUGGGGAAUAUUGGACAAUGGGCGCAAGCCUGAUCCAGCCAUACCGGGUGGGUGAAGAAGGCCUUCGGGUUGUAAAGCCCUGUUGUUGGGAAAGAAAAGCAGCAGGUUAAUACCCCGCUGUUCUGACGGUACCCAAAGAAUAAGCACCGGCUAACUUCGUG